UACGUAGGGUGCGAGCGUUAAUCGGAAUUACUGGGCGUAAAGCGUGCGCAGGCGGUUUUUUAAGUCCGGUGUGAAAUCCCCGGGCUUAACCUGGGAACGGCGCUUGUGACUGGAAGGCUAGAGUACGGCAGAGGGGGGUGGAAUUCCACGUGUAGCAGUGAAAUGCGUAGAGAUGUGGAGGAACACCGAUGGCGAAGGCAGCCCCCUGGGCCGAUACUGACGCUCAUGCACGAAAGCGUGGGGAGCAAACAGG
rnacentral:rRNA from 1 species